UACGUAGGGUGCAAGCGUUGUCCGGAAUUAUUGGGCGUAAAGAGCUCGUAGGCGGUUUGUCGCGUCUGCUGUGAAAACUCAGGGCUUAACCCUGAGCCUGCAGUGGGUACGGGCAGACUAGAGUGUGGUAGGGGAGAUCGGAAUUCCUGGUGUAGCGGUGGAAUGCGCAGAUAUCAGGAGGAACACCGGUGGCGAAGGCGGCAUCCUGGACCAAUUCUGACGCUGAGGAGCGAAAGCCAGGGGAGCAAACGGG
rnacentral:rRNA from 1 species